rnacentral:rRNA from 1 species
GAUGAACGCUGGCGGCGUGCUUAACACAUGCAAGUCGAACGGAAAGGCCCUGCUCUUGUGGGUUGCUCGAUUGGCGAACGGGUGAGUAACACGUGUGUAACCUGCCCUUGUCUUUGGGAUAACUUUUGGGAACUGGGGCUAUUAUCCGAUAGAAGCUCUUGCUGCAUGUUGGGGGUUGGUAAGUUUCGGCGUUUGGGGAUGGACUCGCGGCUUAUCAGCUUGUUUGUGUGGUAGUGGCUUACCAAGGCUUUGACGGGUAGGCUGCCUGAGAGGGUGACCGGGCACAUUGGGACUGAGAUACGGCCCAGACUCCAACGGGAGGCAACAGGGGGGAAUAUUGCACAAUAGGCGGAAGCCUGAUGCAGCAACGCCGCGUGCGGGAUGACGGCCUUCGGGUUGUAAACCGCUUUCGACUGAGACGAAGCGUGAGUGACGGUAAUGGGUAAAAAAGCAACGGCUAACUACGUG